GUCACUACCCUUGUGAGGCUGAUUAUAUCAUUCCUUCAAAUGUCCUCGGGAACAAGAGAACAGAGAGUGUUAGCAUCACCAAAUGGCUUGCCUAUGUCACACACAUCCUUUACACUUUUAAAGCUCUUUUUAAAUCUCUCCACCUGACGAUAUUCAGGUUUCUUCUGGAUGGCCAGAGUAGUCCUUUUAGGAACACCAGGAAAGCGCUCUUCAGAACAUUUGUCCUCGGCUCGGUGAAGCUGUACGGAUGGUGCUGCCUCAGCAGGAAACUACCUUCUUGCAGAAGAACCGCCAAUUAUUUGUAGUGAAACUAAAACAGAGGAAUAAAUAUUGCAUGCUGAUGGAUGCUUGUCAGGAAAGAAAGUGAGUCCCCUGUACACGAUGCACUGUAGAGGAGUCUUGGAAGUUUUGUGCAACUCAAGGAGUAAGCUGCGUUGCAACUAUAACAAAAAGCUUGCCAAGCUCCCUGAAAUUGAAGAGUCAAACACAUUCUCACCCAGUGAUCAGCUGUGGUUUCUAAGUGACACUCUGCAUGUGGAGCUCAGAGAAACCUAACACCUACAGGGAUGUGUUGAAGAAACCAGAUAGCAAGGCCGCCAAGCGACUCCAUCUCUGUUUCCAUUCCCUGGGGUUUAUCAACUUUGUUAAUGGGGCAUAUGUGCUGAGAAUUAUAUAACAUUAAACAUGGGGAACAUUUC